GACAGAGGGUGCAAGCGUUGUCCGGAGUUACUGGGCGUAAAGGGCGCGGAGGCGGACUGCGGCGUCGGCGCUGAAAGCGCCCCGCUUAACGGGGCGAGGCGUGCCGAUACGCGCAGACUUGAGGCGAGCAGAGGGUGGUGGAAUUCCGGGUGGAGCGGUGAAAUGCGUAGAGAUCCGGAGGAACGCCAGUGGGGAAGCCGGCCACCUGGGCUCGUCCUGACGCUGCGGCGCGACAGCGUGGGGAGCAAACCGG
rnacentral:rRNA from 1 species